AGGAAAAGAAACUAACAAGGAUUCCCCUAGUAACGGCGAGUGAAGCGGGAUGAGCUCAAAUUUGUAAUCUGGUGGACUCAGUUCAUCCGAGUUGUAAUCUAUAGAAAAGUUUUCCGCGUCGGACCGUGUCUAAGUCCCUUGGAACAGGGUGUCAGAGAGGGUGAGAAUCCCGUGCUUGAUACGACCACCGAUGCUAUGUGAUACUUUUUCAACGAGUCGAGUUGUUUGGGAAUGCAGCUCAAAAUGGGUGGUAAAUUCCAUCUAAAGCUAAAUAUUGGCGAGAGACCGAUAGCGAACAAGUACCGUGAGGGAAAGAUGAAAAGCACUUUGGAAAGAGAGUUAAACAGUACGUGAAAUUGUUAAAAGGGAAACGAUUGAAGUCAGUCGUGCUCUCUGGGACUCAGCCGGUUCUUCCGGUGUACUUCCCAGUGAGCGGGUCAACAUCAGUUUAGAUCGCUGGAUAAAGGUAUUAGGAAGGUAGCUCCCUCGGGAGUGUUAUAGCCUAGUAUCGCAUACAGUGGUUUAGACUGAGGAACGCAGCUCGCCUUUAUGGCCGGGGUUCGCCCACGUCCGAGCUUAGGAUGUUGACAUAAUGGCUUUAAACGACCC
rnacentral:rRNA from 1 species